rnacentral:rRNA from 1 species
CAGUAGCCGCGGUAGUACGGAGGGUGCGAGCGUUAAUCGGAAUUACUGGGCGUAAAGAGUGCGUAGGUGGUUAAUUAAGUUAUCUGUGAAAUUCCUGGGCUUAACCUGGGCAGGUCAGAUAAUACUGGUUAACUCGAGUAUGGGAGAGGGUAGUGGAAUUUCCGGUGUAGCGGUGAAAUGCGUGGAGAUCGGAAGGAACACCAGUGGCGAAGGCGGCUACCUGGCCUAAUACUGACACUGAGGCACGAAAGCGUGGGGAGCAAACAGGAUUAGAUACCCGUGUAGUCCCUGUCUCUUAUAC